rnacentral:lncRNA from 1 species
UAGACGUUCCACCAUGGAUUGCAUGGCGUCGAACCUCUUGGAAAACAUCUGCUCCAGAAGGGCGGUUAUGGAAGACUCGGCUGCCGUCUUCUCGGGUUCUUCUUUCUCGGGUUCAGGUUCAGAAUCACUUUCCUCUAGGUCAUGGAUCUGGUGAUCCUCGAUCCCUUCCCGUGUUGCCCUGACCGCUCCGGAUGCAGAAAUCGCGUUAGUGGUGCCUUCUCCGGUGUUGGGAGUGCUCAGGUUUCCCAUAGGUCGAACCCGAG